rnacentral:sRNA from 1 species
GUAUGAGAAUGACUUGUUAAUCUGAUUCUCCAUAUGUUUCUUCUUUCAAAUCUUUAUCA